UUUUAUGGAGAGUUUGAUCCUGGCUCAGAGUGAACGCUGGCGGCGUGCCUAAUACAUGCAAGUCGAACGAUGAAGCUUCUAGCUUGCUAGAGUGCUGAUUAGUGGCGCACGGGUGAGUAACGCAUAGGUCAUGUGCCUCUUAGUUUGGGAUAGCCAUUGGAAACGAUGAUUAAUACCAGAUACUCCCUACGGGGGAAAGAUUUAUCGCUAAGAGAUCAGCCUAUGUCCUAUCAGCUUGUUGGUAAGGUAAUGGCUUACCAAGGCUAUGACGGGUAUCCGGCCUGAGAGGGUGAACGGACACACUGGAACUGAGACACGGUCCAGACUCCUACGGGAGGCAGCAGUAGGGAAUAUUGCUCAAUGGGGGAAACCCUGAAGCAGCAACGCCGCGUGGAGGAUGAAGGUUUUAGGAUUGUAAACUCCUUUUGUUAGAGAAGAUAAUGACGGUAUCUAACGAAUAAGCACCGGCUAACUCCGUGCCAGCAGCCGCGGUAAUACGGAGGGUGCAAGCGUUACUCGGAAUCACUGGGCGUAAAGAGCGCGUAGGCGGGAUAGUCAGUCAGGUGUGAAAUCCUAUGGCUUAACCAUAGAACUGCAUUUGAAACUACUAUUCUAGAGUGUGGGAGAGGUAGGUGGAAUUCUUGGUGUAGGGGUAAAAUCCGUAGAGAUCAAGAGGAAUACUCAUUGCGAAGGCGACCUGCUGGAACAUUACUGACGCUGAUUGCGCGAAAGCGUGGGGAGCAAACAGGAUUAGAUACCCUGGUAGUCCACGCCCUAAACGAUGGAUGCUAGUUGUUGGAGGGCUUAGUCUCUCCAGUAAUGCAGCUAACGCAUUAAGCAUCCCGCCUGGGGAGUACGGUCGCAAGAUUAAAACUCAAAGGAAUAGACGGGGACCCGCACAAGCGGUGGAGCAUGUGGUUUAAUUCGAAGAUACACGAAGAACCUUACCUAGGCUUGACAUUGAGAGAAUCCGCUAGAAAUAGUGGAGUGUCUAGCUUGCUAGACCUUGAAAACAGGUGCUGCACGGCUGUCGUCAGCUCGUGUCGUGAGAUGUUGGGUUAAGUCCCGCAACGAGCGCAACCCCCUUUCUUAGUUGCUAACAGGUCAUGCUGAGAACUCUAAGGAUACUGCCUCCGUAAGGAGGAGGAAGGUGGGGACGACGUCAAGUCAUCAUGGCCCUUACGCCUAGGGCUACACACGUGCUACAAUGGGGUGCACAAAGAGAAGCAAUACUGCGAAGUGGAGCCAAUCUUCAAAACGCCUCUCAGUUCGGAUUGUAGGCUGCAACUCGCCUGCAUGAAGCUGGAAUCGCUAGUAAUCGCAAAUCAGCCAUGUUGCGGUGAAUACGUUCCCGGGUCUUGUACUCACCGCCCGUCACACCAUGGGAGUUGUGUUUGCCUUAAGUCAGGAUGCUAAAUUGGCUACUGCCCACGGCACACACAGCGACUGGGGUGAAGUCGUAACAAGGUAACCGUAGGUGAACCUGCGGUUGGAUCACCUCCUUUCUAGA
rnacentral:rRNA from 1 species